rnacentral:rRNA from 1 species
ACUACGGGAGGCAGCAGUGGGGAAUAUUGCACAAUGGGGGAAACCCUGAUGCAGCGACGCCGCGUGAGUGAAGAAGUAUCUCGGUACGUAAAGCUCUAUCAGCAGGGAAGAAAAUGACGGUACCUGACUAAGAAGCCCCGGCUAACUACGUGCCAGCAGCCGCGGUAAUACGUAGGGGGCAAGCGUUAUCCGGAUUUACUGGGUGUAAAGGGAGCGUAGACGGCAGCACAAGUCUGGAGUGAAAUCCCCGGGCUUAACCCCGGAACUGCUUUGGAAACUGUGCGGCUGGAGUGCAGGAGGGGUAAGCGGAAUGCCUAGUGUAGCGGUGAAAUGCGUAGAUAUUAGGAGGAACACCGGUGGCGAAGGCGGCUUACUGGACUGUAACUGACGUUGAGGCUCGAAAGCGUGGGGAGCAAACAGGAUUAGAUACCCUAGUAGUC